ensembl:lncRNA
UUUCGCUAUGUACUGGAAAGCCCGAACGUGCCGGAAGGGGCGCACCUGGGAAAAAGGAGACCCCCCCCCCCCAGGCUACUACGCCGGGCACUUUCACGCCAGGCUGGGGCACCCGCGGCGUUGAGACCGGGGAGCCCGGAGUUGCGGGGAGCGGAAGGGGAAGGGCGCGGCCCGCGUGGCUCGGCCCGGAGUGGCGCGAGGAGACAGGACCCCGCGGCCCCCCGGUCGGGCCCCGCGCCCCGGAAGGGGGGCUCAGACAGGCGGCCCCGCGUGCCCAGGGCGCGUCCCCGCGGCGGCCGCCAGAGGGCGCGGCGGGCGCCGGGGAGGGCAGCACGCGGAGAGUCGCCUCCCUCCCUCCGGGGGAGGAAAUGUGGGGGCCCGGGCUGGGGACCGACUCGGCUGGGUCGCGCUGGCGGGGCCUCCCGGACCAGCGGCCCGCCCUGAGCGCUCUCAGCGGCCUCGCGCGGCUCAGGGCUCCACCACGUGGGCGGCUGUGGGGAGCGGCCGGGGCGCGUGCACGCUGCGGGGCUCCGAAGCUGGGGGGCGUGUCCGGGGCCCCGAGAAGGGGGUGGAGGCUGGGGCCGGGAAGCCUCCCUUGGCUGCGGUCCCGACCCGGGAACAGGCGGCAUGCACUCGGGAUCAGCGGCUACUGCGGAAACCCACCCGCACCUGUCUUGAGUCCUCCCGGGCACGUUCCUCUUGCUUCGUUUGCUACGAACUCCUGGAGAAUGGCAUGACUUCAAUAGCCAGAAUCAGAGCAAAUGAAUGGCAGUGGUGGGAGCCGAGUGGGGAGUGGUCCCCAAAGAAUAUGCAUUGCCGACUUAUUGGGAUCUUCGGUGGAGGUUCCCAGUGCAGACAAUCUUCGUAGAGCCUGUGAAAGUGCCCACGAGACAGUCAUCUUCAAAUAUCUUCCAGACCCGGAAAGCUCAAAACAUUCAGUCAGGUUUGGACUUUCCAAUACCCUUACUUCUCGCUUCACCUUCUUUAACCACUGUGGGAGGGAAGGAUGGAAAGAGAAGCGGUAGGUGUGGAGCAUGUCCGCUUCCCUGCCUUCCACGACUCCCCUGGGGCGGUCAUAUGAUUAAUUAUCCAAAGUAGGCAUUUUGAGGGUGAAAGUUGGCACUAAACAUAAAUAAAAUAUUAUUUUAAAAUAUAUGUUACAUAAUCCUUUGUUGUAUUUAUAUAUAUAUGUGUGUGUGUGUAUAUAUAUAUAUAAAUAUAUAUAUAUUUUGAAUAUAUAAAUAUAUAUAUAUAUAUAUAUUAUUUUUCUUUUGAGACGGAGUCUCACUCUCUCACCCAGGCUGGAGUGCAGUGAUGCAAUCUCAGCUCACUGCAACCUCUGUCUCCCAAGUUCAAGCAAUUUUCCUGCCUCAGCCUCCCAAGUAGCUGGGAUUACAAGGAUGCUAAUUUUUAAAAUUAUUAUUAUUUAGUAGAGACCCAGCUAAUUUUUUUUUUCUUUUUUUUUUUUUUUUGAGACGGAGUCUCGCUCUGUCGCCCAGGCUGCACUGCAGUGGCGCGAUCUUGGCUCACUGCAAGCUCCGCCCGCCAGGUUCACGCCAUUCUCCUGACCUCAUGACCUCCUGAUGUAGCCUGGGACUACAGGCGCUCCCAAAGUGCUGGGAUUACAGGCGUGAGCCACCGCGCCCGGCCGCUAAUUUUGUUUUAAAUUUAUUUAGUAGAGACAGGGUUUCACCAUUUUGGUCAGACUAGUCUCCAACUCCUGACCUCAAAUGAUCCACCCGCCUCAGCCUCCCAAAGUGUUGGGAGUACAGGCGUGAGCCAUUGCGCCCAGCCUGUUGUAUUAUAUUGUAAAAAUAGUCCUAUUCAAAAAUAAUUUUUAAAACACAUUUCUUUAAAAAUAAAAAUAUCUCUGUACAUUAAAGAGAAAAAUAAAAUGCCUUUAUGGUGAUUAAUCUGAACAUUAAAAAACAUAAGCAUAGCUGGGUGUGGUGGCAGGCACCUGUAGUCUCAGCUACUUGGGAGGCUAAGGCAGGAGAAUCGCUUGAACCCGGGAGGCAGAAGUUGCAGUGAGCUGAGAUUGCACCACUGCACUCCAGCCUGGGUGAGAGAGUGAGACUCUGUCUCAAAACAACAACAACAACAACAAUAAAAAACACAUAAACAGAAUUACAAAUCUUGUGCAUAUUCACAUACUUUUUAUCAGUUUCUUAGCCUUAUUUGUUUAACAUAUUUUUUUUAAAUGCAGUCGUCUUGUUUUUUUUUUAAAUAAAA